rnacentral:sRNA from 1 species
GCCGGGCGUGGUGGUUCACACCUAUAAUCUCAGCACUCUGGGAGGCUGAGACAGGAGGAUCACUUGAGCCCAGGAGUCCAAGACCAGCCUGGGCAACAUAGUGAGACCCUGUCUCUU